rnacentral:rRNA from 1 species
UUUAGAGGAAGUAAAAGUCGUAACAAGGUCUCCGUAGGUGAACCUGCGGAGGGAUCAUUACAAGUGACCCCGGUCUUACCACCGGGAUGUUCAUAACCCUUUGUUGUCCGACUCUGUUGCCUCCGGGGCGACCCUGCCUUCGGGCGGGGGCCCCGGGUGGACACUUCAAACUCUUGCGUAACUUUGCAGUCUGAGUAAACUUAAUUAAUAAAUUAAAACUUUUAACAACGGAUCUCUUGGUUCUGGCAUCGAUGAAGAACGCAGCAAAAUGCGAUAAGUAAUGUGAAUUGCAGAAUUCAGUGAAUCAUCGAAUCUUUGAACGCACAUUGCGCCCGCCAGUAUUCUGGCGGGCAUGCCUGUUCGAGCGUCAUUUCAACCCUCAAGCUCAGCUUGGUGUUGGGACUCGCGGUAACCCGCGCUCCCCAAAUCGAUUGGCGGUCACGUCGAGCUUCCAUAGCGUAGUAAUCAUACACCUCGUUACUGGUAAUCGUCGCGGCCACGCCGUUAAACCCCAACUUCUGAAUGUUGACCUCGGAUCAGGUAGGAAUACCCGCUGAACUUAAGCAUAUCAAUAAG